CCUGGGCUCCCGUCAGGGAGUUGGCUCAAAGGUGGUGAACGUGUCGCCGAGCGGGGGAAACGGUGUUCCGGCCGUCUGGGCGCCUGAGCUCCGGGGCAAGUCGACGGAGCAGACCUGGCUGCGAGCGAGAGGAGACAGAGGCCGCUCCCGACAAACAGAUCUGCUCUGCUGUCCUGAGGGCCGAAGGCUGUGGUUGAUUUCUCUGUCAAUGAAAAUCAGCCCCGGUGGAAGAGGGGGAGCCAUGGUGGGGAAGCAGAAGGACAGGAGUGAAACACGAAGGCAGGAGUGUCCCAGAGUGGUGCAACAGAGAGGAAGGGCUCCAGAGGCUCAGGCCAGAGAGGGACAGGAAAACUGGUUUGUGGAUACCCUGCCCAUGCCUGCCUAAACCAACAGCCUCUCCAGCGCUGGAAUCGUGUCUGCUCCAGAGAGAGGAGGAGGGCAGCUGAGAAAAAACCCACGAGACAACAUGCAGCAGUCACUCCUUUGGCCAAUGGAAUCAAAGAAGUGAGAGCAUAAGCUGCAACUGUUCCUAAGGCAUGGAAGACGUGUCUUUCCUAUUUGAGAAUGAUUCUUCUGGCUCCUGCACUAAGUGCCAUCCCCUCCUGCAGUCUCAUGGCUCCCAGUCAUUCUGCUGCCUGAGGAACUAGCUGCCAGAUCAUCAGUUUGGGCUCAAGCCCCUCUCAUCACGUCCCUCCCUGAACCAGCCCGAAGUCCAGUAGCUGGAGUCUGGAAUAAUACCUUCCUUCCGGCUGGCAACACUCCAUGAAAACCCCAGAGCUUGUCCUGUCAGCUGGAGCCCAGAAAGCCAGCCAGGCUCCUGCAGUUGGCAUAUUUAGUGUAGAGCCGAACGUGGGGAGGAGCCUAUUUCCUGGCGGCGGCGGGGG